UACGUAGGGCGCAAGCGUUGUCCGGAAUUAUUGGGCGUAAAGAGCUCGUAGGCGGUCUGUUACGUCCGCUGUGAAAACUCAGGGCUUAACCCUGAGCUUGCAGUGGGUACGGGCAGACUAGAGUGCGGUAGGGGAGACUGGAAUUCCUGGUGUAGCGGUGAAAUGCGCAGAUAUCAGGAGGAACACCGGUGGCGAAGGCGGGUCUCUGGGCCGUAACUGACGCUGAGGAGCGAAAGCAUGGGGAGCGAACAGG
rnacentral:rRNA from 1 species